UACGUAGGGACCAAGCGUUGUUCGGAUUUACUGGGCGUAAAGGGUGUGUAGGUGGCGCCGUAAGUCGGGUGUGAAAUUUCGGAGCUUAACUCCGAAACUGCAUUCGAUACUGCGGUGCUUGAGGACUGGAGAGGAGACUGGAAUUCAUGGUGUAGCAGUGAAAUGCGUAGAGAUCAUGAGGAAGACCAGUGGCGAAGGCGGGUCUCUGGACAGUUCCUGACACUGAGACACGAAGGCCAGGGGAGCAAACGGG
rnacentral:rRNA from 1 species